rnacentral:rRNA from 1 species
UUAAGAGUUUGAUCCUGGCUCAGGCUGAACGCUGGCAGUAUGGAUAAGGCAUGCAAGUCGAACGAUCUCUUUUUUCAAUUUGGUAGCAAUACUAAAAAGAUUGUAGAGAUAGUGGCAAAUGGGUUAGUAACACGUUGGAAAUCUACCCGGAAGUGGGGAAUAAUUCACCGAAAGGUGAACUAAUACCCCAUGGUCUAUGAGAAUGAAAGUUCUCCUAGUAAAGAUUUAUCGCUUCCGGAAGAUCCUGCGUCCUAUCAGCUAGUUGGUGAGGUAAUGGCUCACCAAGGCUACGACGGGUAGGGGAUGUGAGAGCACGACCCCCAACACUGGAACUGCGACACGGUCCAGACACCUACGGGUGGCUGCAGUCGAGAAUCUUCGGCAAUGCACGAAAGUGUGACCGAGCGAUACUGCGUGCAGGAAGAAGGCCUUCGGGUUGUAAACUGCUGUCGUAUGGGAAGAACUUUGACGGUACCAUACAAGAAAGGGGCGCCUAACUCUGUGCCAGCAGGCGCGGUAAUACAGAGGCCCCAAGCGUUAGCCGGAAUUAUUGGGCGUAAAGGGUCCGCAGGCGGAGUAGUGCGUCUUCUGUGAAAUCCUAUCGGCUCAACCGAGAGGCUGCAGUGGAUACGACUAUUCUUGAGGCAAGGAGAGGUAAGCGGAAUUCCUAGUGGAGCGGUGAAAUGCGUUGAUAUUAGGGAGAACACCAAUUGCGAAGGCAGCUUACUGGCCUUGUCCUGACGCUCAGGGACGACAGCGUGGGAAGUGAACGGGAUUAGAUACCCCGGUAAUCCAUGCCGUAAACGAUGCAAACUAGGCAUUGGGAGUAUCGACUCUCUCAGUGUCGAAGCUAACGCGUUAAGUUUGCCGCCUGGGUAGUACGGUCGCAAGACUAAAACUCAAAGGAAUAGACGGGGGCCCGCACA